UGAGCAGGGAAGGGAGAUGGAGCAGUGCUGGAGGCGAAGAAGAAGAAAAAACCCGAGAUUAAGCCCUUCUGGUGCGUGUUACCGACCGUGUUCAUUCGGAACAGCCCAAUAAACACUGCAGCAGGGUGAAGUUGGGCUCCCUUCGAUUCCGAAUCCUCCUCCAGCCCGAUACGCAGAAAGAACCCAACCCGCCGUAGAGAUGUGCACGUAUCUAUCCCGAUUUUCACCCAAAUGUAAAAUAUACAUUAUUUUGAAGGCUGCCCGGAACGGAAUGACCCGAAGAGCACCCGCGGGUUAGGAUCACUCUGCCCCAUCCCACCGCUCCCACGGCCGUGGAGGGACGCACGACGCUUUCAUCUCCCCUUCCAAAAACCAGAGUGGGGGGAGAGCCCCGACAUUCCCCCACCUCGCAGGACGGGAAGGGAGACGUUUUGUCGCCCGCUGCUGCGGCACAGACAAUGGCCGGGCUGUGCAGGGGACGGGGAAGGCUCG
rnacentral:lncRNA from 1 species